UGUGAGGUGUAAAUGUGAUGUGUAGAUGUGAUGUGUAGAUGUGAUGUGUAGAUGUGAUGUGUAGAUGUGAGGUGUAAAUGUAAUGUGUAGAUGUGAUGUGUAGAUGUGAUGUGUAGAUGUGAGGUGUAGAUGUGAGGUGUAAAUGUGAGGUGUAGAUGUGAUGUGUAGAUGUGAUGUGUAGAUGUGAGGUGUAGAUGUGAUGUGUAGAUGUGAUGUGUAGAUGUGAGGUGUAAAUGUAAUGUGUAGAUGUGAUGUGUAGAUGUGAUGUGUAGAUGUGAGGUGUAGAUGUGAGGUGUAGAUGUGAUGUGUAGAUGUGAUGUGUAGAUGUGAUGUGUAGAUGUCUUUGACAUUCUUUUGAGGAUGCUUUUAAAACAGCACUACUUGGUUUGGUUAAUAUGAACUCUGGUUGGUUUGCUAUAGCGUCAAAAUAUGGUCAAAAGUUUGGAGAAGCAAAAGUAUAAU